rnacentral:ncRNA from 1 species
UUUUUAUAAAAAUUUAUUUAUUUAAUUUAGAUAUAAAUAAUAUUUUAAAAAUAAUGAAAAAAUAAUUUAAAUAAUAAUUUUUAAAAUAAAAGUAAGUUAAUAUUUAAAAUAAUUAUAUUAAUGAGAGUUAAUAAUAGAAAUUUAAUAAUAUUAUUAAUAAAAUUUAGUGCCAGCAAUUGCGGUUAAACUAAGAAUAAAAAAUAAAUUUGUUAAAUUAAAGAGAUAGGUAGGUAGAAGAAGAAAAUAAAUUAAUUAAUGGUAGUAAUUUAUGGUGAAAUAUAGAUUAUAUUAAAAAUUAAUUGUUAAUAAGUAUAUUAUUAUUAGAUAUAUAUAUAAUAUUAUUAUAUUAAUUUGAGUAAAUUUAAUUAUAAACUAGGAUUAGAUACCCUAUUAUUUUUAUUAAUCUAAAAAAUUAUUUAAUUAAAUAUUAAAUGUGAAACAUUAAAAAUAAAAAAUUUGGCGGUAUUUGAAUUUUAGGGGAACUUGUUUAUUAAUUUGAUAAUCCACGAAUGGGAAUACUUAAUUUUUUAAUUUUAUAUAUUGUUGUUGUAAAAUUAUAUUAAAAAAUUUAUAAUUAAAUAAACUUUAAUAAUUUAAAUUGCGAUAAAUUAAAAUAAAGGUAUAAUUCAAAUCAAAAUGUAGAAUAAUUAAGGUUAAAAUGAGUUACAAUUAAUUUAAUUAAUGAAAUUAUAGUUUUAAAAUUUUAAAGAAAUUGAAUUUAAAUGUAAAUUUAUAAAAAUAUAUAAAUUGAAUGAUAAAUUUAAAUAUGUACAAAUUGCCCGUCAUUUUCAUGUAAAUAUGAAAAAAGUCGUAACAAAGUAAAUAUAUUGGAAAAUGUAUUUAGAAUAAAUUAUUUUAUUAAAAA